AUUGAACGCUGGCGGCAUGCUUUACACAUGCAAGUCGAACGGCAGCGCGGGCUUCGGCCUGGCGGCGAGUGGCGAACGGGUGAGUAAUACAUCGGAACGUGCCCAGUAGUGGGGGAUAGCUCGGCGAAAGCCGGAUUAAUACCGCAUACGACCUGAGGGUGAAAGCGGGGGAUCUUCGGACCUCGCGCUAUUGGAGCGGCCGAUGGCAGAUUAGCUAGUUGGUGGGGUAAAGGCCUACCAAGGCGUCGAUCUGUAGCUGGUCUGAGAGGACGACCAGCCACACUGGGACUGAGACACGGCCCAGACUCCUACGGGAGGCAGCAGUGGGGAACUUUGGACAAUGGGCGAAAGCCUGAUCCAGCAAUGCCGCGUGUGUGAUGAAGGCCUUCGGGUUGUAAAGCACUUUUGGCGGGAACGAAAAGGACUGUGCCAAUACCACGGUUCGAUGACGGUACCCGCAGAAUAAGCACCGGCUAACUACGUG
rnacentral:rRNA from 1 species